CGGGAUAUGGCGCAGUUUGGUAGCGCGCUUCGUUCGGGACGAAGAGGACGUGGGUUCAAAUCCCGCUAUCCCGA
rnacentral:tRNA from 1 species